rnacentral:rRNA from 1 species
UAGCAUAUCAAUAAGCGGAGGAAAAGAAACCAACCGGGAUUGCCUUAGUAACGGCGAGUGAAGCGGCAAAAGCUCAAAUUUGAAAUCUGGUACCUUCGGUGCCCGAGUUGUAAUUUGGAGAGGGCAACUUUGGGGCCGUUCCUUGUCUAUGUUCCUUGGAACAGGACGUCAUAGAGGGUGAGAAUCCCGUGUGGCGAGGAGUGCGGUUCUUUGUAAAGUGCCCUCGAAGAGUCGAGUUGUUUGGGAAUGCAGCUCUAAGUGGGUGGUAAAUUCCAUCUAAAGCUAAAUAUUGGCGAGAGACCGAUAGCGAACAAGUACAGUGAUGGAAAGAUGAAAAGAACUUUGAAAAGAGAGUGAAAAAGUACGUGAAAUUGUUGAAAGGGAAGGGCAUUUGAUCAGACAUGGUGUUUUGUGCCCUCUGCUCCUUGUGGGUAGGGGAAUCUCGCAUUUCACUGGGCCAGCAUCAGUUUUGGUGGCAGGAUAAAUCCAUAGGAAUGUAGCUUGCCUCGGUAAGUAUUAUAGCCUGUUGGGAAUACUGCCAGCUGGGACUGAGGACUGCGACGUAAGUCAAGGAUGCUGGCAUAAUGGUUAUAUGCCGCCCGUCUUGAAACACGGACCAAGGAGUCUAACGUCUAUGCGAGUGUUUGGGUGUAAAACCCAUACGCGUAAUGAAAGUGAACGUAGGUUGGGGCCUCGCAAGAGGUGCACAAUCGACCGAUCCUGAUGUCUUCGGAUGGAUUUGAGUAAGAGCAUAGCUGUUGGGACCCGAAAGAUGGUGAACUAUGCCUGAAUAGGGUGAAGCCAGAGGAAACUCUGGUGGAGGCUCGUAGCGGUUCUGACGUGCAAAUCGAUCGUCGAAUUUGGGUAUAGGGGCGAAAGACUAAUCGAACCAUCUAGUAGCUGGUUCCUGCCGA